CGUACUUGUACUGAUUGAGAUUUUAACACGAAGUGAGUGGCGAACGGGUGAGUAACACGUGGGUAACCUGCCCAGAAGUAGGGGAUAACACCUGGAAACAGAUGCUAAUACCGUAUAACAGAGAAAACCGCAUGGUUUUCUUUUGAAAGAUGGCUCUGCUAUCACUUCUGGAUGGACCCGCGGCGUAUUAGCUAGUUGGUGAGGUAAAGGCUCACCAAGGCAGUGAUACGUAGCCGACCUGAGAGGGUAAUCGGCCACAUUGGGACUGAGACACGGCCCAGACUCCUACGGGAGGCAGCAGUAGGGAAUCUUCCACAAUGGACGCAAGUCUGAUGGAGCAACGCCGCGUGAGUGAAGAAGGGUUUCGGCUCGUAAAGCUCUGUUGUUAAAGAAGAACGUGGGUAAGAGUAACUGUUUACCCAGUGACGGUAUUUAACCAGAAAGCCACGGCUAACUACGUGCCAGCAGCCGCGGUAAUACGUAGGUGGCAAGCGUUAUCCGGAUUUAUUGGGCGUAAAGCGAGCGCAGGCGGUCUUUUAAGUCUAAUGUGAAAGCCUUCGGCUCAACCGAAGAAGUGCAUUGGAAACUGGGAGACUUGAGUGCAGAAGAGGACAGUGGAACUCCAUGUGUAGCGGUGAAAUGCGUAGAUAUAUGGAAGAACACCAGUGGCGAAGGCGGCUGUCUGGUCUGCAACUGACGCUGAGGCUCGAAAGCAUGGGUAGCGAACAGGAUUAGAUACCCUGGUAGUCCAUGCCGUAAACGAUGAUUACUAAGUGUUGGAGGGUUUCCGCCCUUCAGUGCUGCAGCUAACGCAUUAAGUAAUCCGCCUGGGGAGUACGACCGCAAGGUUGAAACUCAAAAGAAUUGACGGGGGCCCGCACAAGCGGUGGAGCAUGUGGUUUAAUUCGAAGCUACGCGAAGAACCUUACCAGGUCUUGACAUCUUCUGACAGUCUAAGAGAUUAGAGGUUCCCUUCGGGGACAGAAUGACAGGUGGGUGCAUGGGUUGUCCUCCAGCUCCUGUCCUGGAAAUGUUGGGGUUAAGUCCCCGCAACCAAGCGCAACCCUUUAUUACUAAUUUGCCAGCA
rnacentral:rRNA from 1 species